AUUGAACGCUGGCGGCAGGCCUAACACAUGCAAGUCGAACGAGUGGCGGACGGGUGAGUACUGUCUGGGAAACUGCCUGCUGGCGGGGGAUAACUACUGGAAACGGUAGCUACUACCGCAUACCAUCAGAUGUGCCCCGAUGGGAUUAGCUAGUUGGUGGGGUAACGGCUCACCACGGCGACGAUCCCUAGCUGGUCUGAGAGGAUGACCAGCAACACUGGAACUGAGACACGGUCCAGACGCCGACGGGAGGCAGCAGUGGGGAAUAUUGCACAAUGGGCGGAAGCCUUAUGCAGCCAUGCCGCGUGUAGGAAGAAGGCCUUCGGGUUGUAAAGUACUUUCAGCGGGGAGGCGUUACCCGCAGAAGAAGCACCGGCUAACUCCGUGCCAGCAGCCGCGGUAAUUC
rnacentral:rRNA from 1 species